rnacentral:rRNA from 1 species
GCAGGUGCAUGCCUCUAGCAUGAA